GAUGAACGCUGGCGGUAUGCUUAACACAUGCAAGUCGAACGGACUCUUCGGAGUUAGUGGCGGACGGGUGAGUAACGCGUGAGAAUCUGCCUUCAGGUCGGGGACAACAGUUGGAAACGACUGCUAAUACCCGAUGUGCAGCAAUGUGAAAGAUUUAUCGCCUGAAGAUGAGCUCGCGUCUGAUUAGCUAGUGGGUGUGGUAAUGGCGCACCUAGGCGACGAUCAGUAGCUGGUCUGAGAGGAUGACCAGUCACACUGGGACUGAGACACGGCCCAGACUCCUACGGGAGGCAGCAGUGGGGAAUUUUCCGCAAUGGGCGAAAGCCUGACGGAGCAAUACCGCGUGAGGGACGACGGCUUUUGGGUUGUAAACCUCUUUUCCCUGGGAAGAAGAUCUGACGGUACCAGGGGGAAUCAGCAUCGGCUAACUUCGUGCCAGCAGCCGCGGUAAU
rnacentral:rRNA from 1 species